rnacentral:rRNA from 1 species
CAGUAGCCACGGGAAUACGUAGGUGGCAAGCGUUGUCCGGAAUUAUUGGGCGUAAAGGGCUCGCAGGCGGUUUCUUAAGUCUGAUGUGAAAGCCCCCGGCUCAACCGGGGAGGGUCAUUGGAAACUGGGAAACUUGAGUGCAGAAGAGGAGAGUGGAAUUCCACGUGUAGCGGUGAAAUGCGUAGAGAUGUGGAGGAACACCAGUGGCGAAGGCGACUCUCUGGUCUGUAACUGACGCUGAGGAGCGAAAGCGUGGGGAGCGAACAGGAUUAGAUACCCGAGUAGUCCCUGUCUCUUAUAA